rnacentral:rRNA from 1 species
GACAGAGGCCUCAAGCGUUAGGCGGAAUCACUGGGCUUAAAAGCGCACGUAGGCGGAUUUUUUAAGUCAGGGGGUGAAAAUCCCGAGGCUCAACCUCGGAACUGCCUUUUGAUACUGGAGAUCUUGAGUCCGGAAGAGGUAAGUGGAACUGCGAGUGUAGAGGUGAAAAUUUCGUAGAUAUUCGCAAGAACACCAGUGGCGAAGGCGGCUUACUUGGUC